UAGGGAAUCUUCCGCAAUGGGCGAAAGCCUGACGGAGCAACGCCGCGUGAGUGAUGAAGGUCUUCGGAUCGUAAAACUCUGUUAUUAGGGAAGAACAAAUGUGUAAGUAACUAUGCACGUCUUGACGGUACCUAAUCAGAAAGCCACGGCUAACUACGUGCCAGCAGCCGCGGUAAUACGUAGGUGGCAAGCGUUAUCCGGAAUUAUUGGGCGUAAAGCGCGCGUAGGCGGUUUUUUAAGUCUGAUGUGAAAGCCCACGGCUCAACCGUGGAGGGUCAUUGGAAACUGGAAAACUUGAGUGCAGAAGAGGAAAGUGGAAUUCCAUGUGUAACGGUGAAAUGCGCAGAGAUAUGGAGGAACACCAGUGGCGAAGGCGACUUUCUGGUCUGUAACUGACGCUGAUGUGCGAAAGCGUGGGGAUCAAACAGG
rnacentral:rRNA from 2 species